GUAAGUCAAGGAGUGAUUUUGGCAGUAAUAACCGUUGUUAGAAGAAAACCCAACCUAAAUCUAAUUGCGAGUCGCAAAGUAGAGCAUGAGCAACGAGCUUCUCCUUCAGUGGCUUCUUCUCCUCCAUUGAUAAUUCAAAAACUACAUCGCCGCUGCUCUGCGAGCUUCUCCUCCAUCAAUGAUUCUUCCCCUCCAUCAGUGUCAUGUCCAUCAAUGCUUCUCCUAUGAUGGUACUUUUGCUUCCAUUGAUGCGAUUUGUGAGGGGCUAAUUAUCUCUGUGAGGUAAUGUGGGCCAUAAUUGCUUCUUCUUUUAACUAUCUUUUUCUUUUCUAAAAUUUAAAUGCCACAAGUAGUACAGAGACAACAAUAAAUAUUUUGUUGUUGUCUAUAAGAUGCAUCCUAGCAAUUAGAGUUAGUAAACCAUAUUCAAUUCUUAGAAACAUUUAGUAAUAAUGUACUUUAUGUGUUUGUUAUUUUGCUUCUUAGAAAUUGGAAUCAUUUAAUUACUUCCAGUUUAGUGUUUCAAUAACUCUCUUGCAUCCUUUGUAUAUUGAAGAAUUACAACUCAAUUACUGUCACGAAAUAAUACAUAUCUGGUUUAUUACUAGAACAUCACCUGCUUCUUUAAUGUGUGGCUUUUAGACAAAUGAAGGAAAAGAUACUUAAAUCCUCAAGAAGGAAGAGCUUUUCUUUUUCCACGUAAAUCUUGAGACGUUCAAGUGAUUUUGGGAUAUUUUAAGAAAAUCUACAACUAACUCCAUCACAUGUCAACCUCACUUCAUGUUGCUUUAUUUUGGGAUAUGUAUAUGUUGCUCCAGCUAUCCUAGGUUUCCUGAGCUAAUUUUCAGACUACUUUAGAAACCAGCCUGAUUUUUCUUAUUAGCAUAGUAUAUAUCAAAUAAUAAGCAGAGGAUUGAGCAAUAGAUUGAGAUAGGUAGAAAAAGAAGGAUUCAAAUCACUUGUUUAAUGACAUAUUGAACCUUGUCUAUUAAGCAAAAACUUUCUUUUUGUUUUAUGUUGUUGAAUCAUACUUGAUUAUUGAACUUUUACUUUGUCCAUGCUUGAGGGAAAUGACAUUUGUAUUUGGGUAAAGUACUAUUUUAAUCCCCAAUAUUUGGGCUAAAUCUUAAUUUAGUCCCUAAUGUUUCAAACGUAUUUUUUUUGUCCCAAAAAAUUUUGAAAGGAUCGGAUUCAAUGUUGUCCCGAAUUAGGAUUUAAGUCAAACAUUGACAUUUUGAAUAUAUUAUUAUACAUUCAGAAGCAAAAAUGCUCCAAUCAUCCUGAAAACAUCUCACACCAACUUUAGGUCCUGCUCCCAUAAAUGCUCUAUUAUAUUAAGUAAUACAACAGAUUUUUACUAUAAUUUGGUGGAAUCCGAUUGAGACUCAGUUCAAUUGGUUGGAUCUCUGAAGUUUUGACCUGGUUGCUUGAGUGGUUUGAUGUCCAAUCUGGAUUUUAGAACCUUAUAUGAACCAUCUCUCAUACAAGCUUAAGGAUAGAGGGUCAUUAUUAGGCAUGGCAAUUUCCCCCGGCGGGGCGGGUAUCCGCGGGGAAUUACCCGCCGGGGGACG